AGGGAUUAGUUAAAUCAUAAUAUAAGAUUGUCAGUCUUACGUUGCUAGUCAGACUAGUAUCUCUUG
rnacentral:tRNA from 1 species